UGUAAGAAAGACUAAGGGAUAGUCUUUCGGGCUCAUAACCCGA
rnacentral:tRNA from 1 species